rnacentral:rRNA from 1 species
CCUACGGGUGGCAGCAGUGAGGAAUAUUGGUCAAUGGACGAGAGUCUGAACCAGCCAAGUAGCGUGAAGGAUGACUGCCCUAUGGGUUGUAAACUUCGUUUAUAGGGGAAUAAAAUGUUCCACGUGUGGGAUUUUGUAUGUACCAUAUGAAUAAGGAUCGGCUAACUCCGUGCCAGCAGCCGCGGUAAUACGGAGGAUCCGGGCGUUAUCAGGAUUUAUUGGGGUUAAAGGGAGCGUAGGUGGAUUGUUAAGUCAGUUGUGCAAGUUUGCGGCUCACCCGUAAAAUGGCAGUUGAAACUGGCAGUCUUGCUUACAGUAGAGGUGGGCGGCAUUC